AAAGGAGGGAUAGAGGGACGGAGGGACAGAGGAAAACUGAGUACUAAAAGGAGGGAAGGGAGGGACGGAGGGAAAAUACCGUUACUAAAAGGAGGGAAGGAAGCAAAAUGGAGGGACGAAGGGAAACAAAAAUUCCAUGGCUUAAACCCUAUGGGCGGAGGAACAGAGGGAAACUAUUUUUUACCCAAAAUAAGUGAAGGGACGGUAGGGAAACUGGUGGAGGGACGGUAGGGAAACUGUGGAGUGACGGUAGGGAAACUGGUAGAGGGACGGAGGGAAACUAUUUUUCGCCCAAAAAAAGUGGAGUGAUGGUAGGGAAACUGGUAGAGGGACAGAGGAAAACUAUUUUUCGCCC